GAACCGAUAGUUUCCGAUCACAUCGUCCUCCUUCGAGAAUGGCACAGAUGUUGCCAGUUCAUCCGGCCGAAGCUGCGCCGUCGCGAGUUGAGAGUUUGCGGGCGGGAGUUGCUGAAAGAGUUUGAAAGUAGAUGUUCUUGAUCAGGUUCGUCGGAUAUCGCUCCAACCUCUGGAAGUAAUCCGAGUACGACAGCUUCAGGACCUACGGCUUUCGUACACUCGGUUCUUCCAGAGCUGGUGCAAACUGUUCUUCCGGAUGUUUAUGUAAUACUCGUCAAACAUGUCCCGCACCGAGAAAUGGACUGCGGACCCUCAGGCAUCCCACACUGUCCCGUCAUAACUUCCGGCACAUAAUACUGCUGAUGGUCGUAAACCGCCGGCACCGAGUGCAACAUCCGCGCUGACGACCUCCGAUCGCUUCUCCACGUUUCCCUCUUCUGUCGGAUCCUUAUCCUCACCGUUAAAAUUAACUUUACGAAAAAAACGGUGCAAAUUCACAUCCGCAUAAACGGCGUCCUACAAAAACAAACAAAAUCAAACACAAACGCCAUCAAACACCCAAAUUUCCUUCUUACCCAUUUCGGUCGUGAAACAGCUGCAGAUCCGGCAGGAAGCUGGCCUUAUCCUUUUGAAAACCAACUUCCCCUAAUCCCCUAACCUUGUUCCGCACCAUCCUCCUUCGAAGGUAUCCGCGUCCAAGUCCUGGCUGCGGACGCGUUCUGUUUUGAUUGACGUCGUGGACCACCGGGACCACCACUCACUAACCACCGGAAUCACCUAAACGUUUGUUUACAUUUUGGACUUAGACGUACACGGUUUCACGAGAACGACAAAAUGAAAGAAAUUAUACAGUCGAAUUAAAAGUUAAAACUUUUAAAUAAGUUAGCAAUGAGAUUUUCAAAAACUGUAGCAGUAAAAGUUUUCAUUUUCAAAACAAGAAAAAAACUUUUAGUGUAGCAAAUUUUAACCACUUAUUAAUUCAAAAGUAAGUUACUUUUGUCAUUACCAUAAUAUUUUUUUGUGUGU